AUGGUCUGGGCUCUGGUCCUCCUCACCCUCUUCACUCAGGGCAUAGGAUCUCUGGCCCAGUCCUCCCUGACUCAGCCAUCUUCAGCGUCUGGGGCUCUGGGACAGACAGUUACCAUUUCUUGUAUUGGAACCAGCAAUGACAUUGGGAGGUUUAAUGAUGUCUCCUGGUAUAAACAGCUCCCAGGCACAUUCCCCAAACUCCUGAUUUAUAGCACAAGUUACCAGCCAUCAGGAAUCCCUGAUCGCUUCUCUGGCUCCAAAUCUGGCAAUACACCCUCCCUGACCAUCUCUGGGCUCCGGGCUGAAGAUGAGGUUGGUUAUUACUGUGCAUCAUAUAGAAGUGGUGGAAACAGCACCUUUGUUUUUGAAUUAUUGAAUUAUUGA